GUUAGAGAUAGAGAGAGUGAG
rnacentral:miRNA from 1 species